rnacentral:rRNA from 1 species
GAUGAACGCUGGCGGUAGGCCUAACACAUGCAAGUCGAACGGCAGCACAGUAAGAGCUUGCUCUUACGGGUGGCGAGUGGCGGACGGGUGAGGAAUACAUCGGAAUCUACUUUUUCGUGGGGGAUAACGUAGGGAAACUUACGCUAAUACCGCAUACGACCUACGGGUGAAAGCAGGGGAUCUUCGGACCUUGCGCGAUUGACUGAGCCGAUGUCGGAUUAGCUAGUUGGCGGGGUAAAGGCCCACCAAGGCGACGAUCCGUAGCUGGUCUGAGAGGAUGAUCAGCCACACUGGAACUGAGACACGGUCCAGACUCCUACGGGAGGCAGCAGUGGGGAAUAUUGGACAAUGGGCGCAAGCCUGAUCCAGCCAUACCGCGUGGGUGAAGAAGGCCUUCGGGUUGUAAAGCCCUUUUGUUGGGAAAGAAAAGCAGCAGGUUAAUACCCCGCUGUUCUGACGGUACCCAAAGAAUAAGCACCGGCUAACUUCGUG